UAGGUUUGAAAAACUACGCAGGACCGACCUUUGAAAAACAGUACGUUUCUGCAAAAACAGAACGGAUGGUCACCGUGUAUAUGUUAAUCAAGGCCAAAGCCGACUUGGGUUUCUUGCUUGACGGGAACGAUCCAGCGGCACUUUAGUAUUUUUUUGAAUACAGCUGUAUGUACUAAUGGCUUGGGCGACAUCUGCUGUCCAAUAUUACACAUUACCCGCACGGAUAGGUUUGGGACUUUUCUCUCCCAAAAAUGCAACCUCGGAACACGGAAUUUCAAAGAAAGGGAAAUAAUUUAGCAACGAUUGUUUCAAUUGCCGUUUCCGUUUUUGUGAUGUCAAAAAUUCCGCGCGUUUAAAAAGAAAUAGUGUCUUCAGUCAUUUGCAAAAUUCCACAACUUAAUAAAAUUACUAAAAAUGGAUACAUUGGACGUAGAAAUGUAUGACAUUCAUGGCAGUCAGUCGCCCGUAACAGAUGUAAAUACAUCAAUCGAUAUUAGUGAAAACACAGCGGAGCUAGACCAGGCUUUAAUCCAGUAUGUAACAACCUCCAGUCGGUUACUUUUUGCCGAACGUGACGAAACUUGGAAUGAUUUCCACACAGCGAGUUGGAAUAAUACUGAAAAGUUCACCGACUAUUCAACUGAGCAGCUACGUGAGCAUUUUCUUCAAAAAGUGCUACCGAAAAUACAAAAUAUGAGCUGACCGCUACACAAAUACAAAUGUUUGAGUUGAUAUGAGCGGACUCCCACUGGUUACGUACGCAUUCCAGCUAAUCGGCGUAUAGGCUUUAACCGCCAGCCGAAAGAAGGAAAAGAUUUCAUACUGGUCAAACAAACGCGACAGCUGCGGCAAAUGUUGAAUGAAUGCUCACUAACUGAAGGCGAGUUGGAUGCAAACCAAGAAUUUGAUUUGAAUAAGCCUGAACAUUCACCGACUCAC